GCGGAAGGCAGCGAUGCGGCUCUUUUCAAGUGGACUGAUGAACACACUCGGCUCCUUAUUCAGUGGAGAGUGGCUAAUGAAGCCCUCUUCACUGGAAAGCGUAAUGCUGCCAUCAAAGGUUUUGAAGCAGGAACUUGAGGGCAAAAUGUCUGCGCUCAAGUCAAAAGAAAGUGGGAGAACCUAAAACAAAAAUAUACA